CCUACGGGUGGCAGCAGUGAGGAAUAUUGGUCAAUGGUCGGGAGACUGAACCAGCCAAGCCGCGUGCGGGAGGAAGGUACAGAGUAUCGUAAACCUCUUUUGUGAGGGAACAAAGACUGGGACGCGUCCCCGGAUGAGUGUACCUGAUGAAAAAGCAUCGGCUAACUCCGUGCCAGCAGCCGCGGUAAUACGGAGGAUGCGAGCGUUAUCCGGAUUUAUUGGGUUUAAAGGGUGCGCAGGCCGUCUUUUAAGUCCGCGGUCAAAGGCCGGGGCUCAACCCCGGCCCCGCAGCGGAAACUGGUAGUCUCGAGUGGGAGAGAAGUAUGCGGAAUGCGCGGUGUAGCGGUGAAAUGCAUAGAUAUCGCGCAGAACUCCGAUUGCGAAGGCAGCAUGCCGUCUCGUCACUGACGCUGAGGCACGAAGGCGCGGGGAGCGAACAGGAUUAGAUACCCUUGUAGUC
rnacentral:rRNA from 1 species